GAUGAACGCUGGCGGCGUGCUUAACACAUGCAAGUCGAACGGUAACGCCCUGCUUGCUGGGUGGUUUAGUGGGGAAAGGGCGUGUGACACGUGAGUACAAUGCCCUCUACUCUGUGGUAAGCCUUCACGAAUGGGGCUAAUACCGGAUAUGGGAGCCCACCGCCUGGUGGGGGCUGGGGAGAUUUGUCGCUUUUGGGUGGGCUCGCGGCGUAUCAGCUUGUUCGUGGGGGAGUGGCGCACCCCGGCGACGUCGGGUAGCCGGCCUGAGAGGGUGACCGGCCACACUGGGACUGAGAGACGGCCCAGACUCCUACGGGAGGCAGCAGUGGGGAAUAUUGCACAAUGGGCGGAAGCCUGAUGCAGCGACGCCGCGUGCGGGAUGACGGCCUUCGGGUUGUAAACCGCUUUCGGUUGAGACGAAGCGGGAGUGACGGUACCUGCAGAAGAAGCACCGGCUAACUACGUG
rnacentral:rRNA from 1 species